rnacentral:rRNA from 1 species
GACGAACGCUGGCGGCGUGCUUAACACAUGCAAGUCGAACGAAGAGCGAUGGAAGCUUGCUUCUAUCAAUCUUAGUGGCGAACGGGUGAGUAACGCGUAAUCAACCUGCCCUUCAGAGGGGGACAACAGUUGGAAACGACUGCUAAUACCGCAUACGAUCUAAUCUCGGCAUCGAGGAUAGAUGAAAGGUGGCCUCUACAUGUAAGCUAUCACUGAAGGAGGGGAUUGCGUCUGAUUAGCUAGUUGGAGGGGUAACGGCCCACCAAGGCGAUGAUCAGUAGCCGGUCUGAGAGGAUGAACGGCCUCAUUGGGACUGAGACACGGCCCAGACUCCUACGGGAGGCAGCAGUGGGGAAUCUUCCGCAAUGGACGAAAGUCUGACGGAGCAACGCCGCGUGAGUGAGGACGGCCGUCGGGUUGUAAAGCUCUGUUAAUCGGGACGAAAGGCCUUCUUGCGAAUAGUGAGAAGGAUUGACGGUACCGGAAUAGAAAGCCACGGCUAACUACGUG